UCCGAUAUGGUGUAGUGGCCAACAUGAUGCCCUCUCAUCCGUACGAAAGGUUAGGCAUAGCCCCGAGUUCGAUUCUCGGUUUCGGAA
rnacentral:tRNA from 1 species